AAUUCCAUAGAACUGUUGAGUGCAUCUAUACUGACCGCACAGAAUAGGUGAAAAGGGAAUCAGGUGCAAGGCCUGAGCGAGCCGGUCACUGUAUAUGGGGAGUGACGCCGGAGAUACCCAUUGUAUAAAAUUAUAUGAGAAGGGCGGCGAAGCGUUAAUCCAUGAGCCAGGAAACCUGCUUAACAGCAGUAAGGUGA
rnacentral:ncRNA from 2 species